AUUUGGAGGUUGUGCCCUUGAGGCGUGGCUUCCGGGAGCUAACGCGUUAAAUCGACCGCCUGGGGAGUACGGCCGCAAGGUUAAAAACUCAAAUGAAUUGACGGGUGCCCGCACAAGCGGUGGAGCAUGUGGUUUAAUUCGAUGCAACGCGAAGAACCUUACCUACUCUUGACAUCCAGAGAACUUUCCAGAGAUGGAUUGGUGCCUUCGGGAACUCUGAGACAGGUGCUGCAUGGCUGUCGUCAGCUCGUGUUGUGAAAUGUUGGGUUAAGUCCCGCAACGAGCGCAACCCUUAUCCUUUGUUGCCAGCGGUUCGGCCGGGAACUCAAAGGAGACUGCCAGUGAUAAACUGGAGGAAGGUGGGGAUGACGUCAAGUCAUCAUGGCCCUUACGAGUAGGGCUACACACGUGCUACAAUGGCGUAUACAAAGAGAAGCGACCUCGCGAGAGCAAGCGGACCUCAUAAAGUACGUCGUAGUCCGGAUUGGAGUCUGCAACUCGACUCCAUGAAGUCGGAAUCGCUAGUAAUCGUAGAUCAGAAUGCUACGGUGAAUACGUUCCCGGGCCUUGUACACACCGCCCGUCACACCAUGGGAGUGGGUUGCAACAUACGUAAAGUAGCUUAUCCUUCGGGAGGGCGCUUACCCACUU
rnacentral:rRNA from 1 species